rnacentral:rRNA from 1 species
GACGAACGCUGGCGGCGUGCUUAACACAUGCAAGUCGAACGGUGAAGCGCUUUCCUUUUUGGUGGGUGUGGAUGAGUGGCGAACGGGUGAGUAACACGUGAGUAACCUGCCCCCUUCUUCUGGAUAACCGCAUGAAAGUGUGGCUAAUACGGGAUACUCUGUGUCUGUCGCAUGAUGGGUCUGUGAAAGAUAUUGUUUCGGUGGGGGAUGGGCUCGCGGCCUAUCAGCUUGUUGGUGGGGUGAUGGCCUAACAAGGCGGUGACGAGUAGCUGGCCUGAGAGGGUCGGCGGUCACAGUGGUGAUGAGACGCGGCGACGACUACGAGAGGAGGCAGCGGGGAAGAAUAUUGCACAAGGGGAGGAAGGCUGCUGCAGCGACGCGGCGUGGGGGAAGGAGGCCGUGGGGUUGAGAACCUCUUUCGGCAGAGAAGCAGGGCUGCCUCGUUUGUGGGUGGGUUGACGGUAGCUGGAUAAGAAGCGCCGGCUAACUACGUG